CCCUGACAGUCCUAUUGUGGGACUGACAUUAGCCACGACAGGAGAUCAUAAUG
ncrna:unclassified sequences Mu-gpT-DE RNA